UAGGGCAGCUGGCCCAGCCGCUGCGGGUGGGGGAAUCCUGAAGCCUUCCUAGGCCCCGGAGUGGCUCCAUUCCAUGACGCACUUUCUCGGUUGCUCGGAAUCCUGCUUCCUUAUUGUCAGUGUGGGAGAGAACUAGGUGUUACAGAUGUUGUGCUUACCAGACCCAGCCAGGCAAAGCGUUCUGGGAUUUAUAGCCCUGAAAAAGGAUAUAAAUGAGGCCUUUUAUGAAAAAGACCAUGUGGCAGGUAACCACAAAUAGAGAUUCCAACUUCAGAUGUGUCGAGAGUAAGGACCUCUGAAAAUCCAUUUUUACCUAAAAGCAAUGAUAACACUGCCAGAAGUUGGCAGAAGCAACUUUUCCAGAACUCUGGAAAAUUACCAGGCAUUUGUAACAAUCUGAGGAGCAUUUAUCAAAAAAAAAAAAAA